UACGUAGGGGGCUAGCGUUGUCCGGAAUCAUUGGGCGUAAAGAGCGCGUAGGCGGCCAGAUAAGUCCGGUGUGAAAGUCAAAGGCUCAACCUUUGAAUGCCGCUGGAAACUGUCUGGCUAGAGUCCGGGAGGGGCGAGUGGAAUUCCUGGUGUAGCGGUGAAAUGCGUAGAUAUCGAGAGGAACACCAGUGGCGAAGGCGGCCGGCUGGCCGAGGGCUGACGCUGAGGCGCGAUGGCGUGGGGAGCAAACCGG
rnacentral:rRNA from 1 species